rnacentral:rRNA from 1 species
UACGGGGGGGGCAAGCGUUGUUCGGAAUUACUGGGCGUAAAGGCUCGUAGCGGUUUGUCGCGUCGGGAGUGAAAACCAUGAGCUUAACUCAUGGCUUGCUUUCGAUACGGGCAGACUAGAGGUAUGCAGGGGAGAACGGAAUUCCUGGUGUAGCGGUGAAAUGCGCAGAUAUCAGGAGGAACACCGGUGGCGAAGGCGGUUCUCUGGGCAUUACCUGACGCUGAGGAGCGAAAGUGUGGGGAGCGAACAGG